rnacentral:misc_RNA from 1 species
GAGCUGGAGGACCACGUCCAGGAGCGGCGUCAGGUUGAUGUUGAGGGUCGCUUCAUCCUGGGAGGAGCG